ACAGGCGUUGGGUGAGAGCGUGAGCAUUACGCCGUGUGCUUUUAACGCUUUCAUUUACUGCGUUUCUGUUUAAAUUUUUGUUUUUGGUUUUUCGUUUUUUGCAAAGAACGAAGCGUCAAAGCUACUUACGCUCGUGCGGCCAAUGCUUGCGUCGUUGACUGGCUAACUGGCUAGCUGGUUGUUUUGCACUGGCGAGCAGACACUUGUGGUAGUUGCAUUUUGACCGUACGCGAGUAAAGCCACAAAUGUAAACAAAGCGCGCUAAUUGAAGAAACCCCAGAGCGCAUCGGAAAAUCAAAUUCGUAAAGCUGCGACGAAGCAAAAAUAUUUCAACUAAAUUUUCAAAGCAAAGUCGCGAGGAAAAUAUUCUACAAUUUUUAGAAGUCUUGAACAUUUGGUGCUGUGACAACUUGUAUGACGCACUCGUCAACCGUCAUUCACCGAAAAGCAACACCUGUGUCAGUGCUAAAGUGACUCGCGGCAGUGUGUGAUGCAACAGAAAGUGACUACCUGUAUGAAAAUAUUACAGAAUUUGAAAUAAUUUUGUUGAAAAAUUCAAAUAAUAUUUGUAUGUGGCCAACUAAUUUGUAACAAACAACAACAACAGCAGUGUUUGCGUAAUUGCAUAAUUAAAAAUUCAAUGAAAAAGACAAAUGCAAAUUAACAGCAAGUGUUUAAAUAAAAAGUGUUUUGAAACGAAAAAUUAUUGCUGCAUAUUACACUGUGCAACACAAACGAAAUUCAAGCAUUUGCAGAGAAAGUGUGAAUAUGCUUCAUUCGUUCAGAAUGCAAGUGAAAUCAAAAUCAGUGAAGAGAAAUUUAAAUAAUUAAACAAAAACAAAAACAGUGUCAAGUAAAUUACCAAAACUAACAAAAGUUUAUCAAAAACAUAUUCAAAAUAAGCAAACUUGUGUGUGGAUUUUCAAGCACUAAUUGUUCUGCCUGCGACUAAGGAACCUAUUGAGCUGAAAAAACGUUUGGAAGAGGUGCGUCUGCUCGAAUCGCGACGCUCUGCACGCUUGGCUGAUCAGGAACGCGACACAGAUUUCGCACGCCUAGCCGACAUGGGUGGCGAUCGCCGCCGCACAACAUCACACAGCAUCGAGGUGCCAAUGUCCUUAACGCCGCAGAAUAAGUGAGUAAAAAUUAAAUAUUUUCCAUAAUUUUUUUUAAUUAAAUAGAAAUAAACAAAGUCAAAUGCAUUAAACAGAAUUAGGUUAAUUAAAAUUAAAUAAUAUUAAAUUAUUUAAGAAUAUUUGAAAUUUAAGUUUUUGCUGCAAGCAAAAUUCCCAUUGGAAUGAGUAACAAAACCAAUAAUUCUUAUGCUGAUUUUUCCAUAUGAACUAUAUAGUUGCGUGUAAAAAAUUUAAAUUAUAAGUUUUUUUUUUAAUGUUUCGCAUAUUUAUGCAUGCGUAUAGUACAUUGCAUUAUUUUUUUUAUUUUUUCGCAAUAUCGAAACAGCAAAUACAUAAGUUUGCCGAUUGCCACAUUAGAAGCGAGGCAGCCGCCUGUUUUAUUUCAAUAACUCCACAAAUAUGACCUAAAAAUGAUGAAAAUGAGAAACACAAACAAAAUUGGCGCAAUUUGAAGCAUUCCAUUGCCGACGAAAUGGGGUCACAUGCUGCCCCUUCCAGUCACUUUCAAAGCAUGCAUACAUACAUAUAUACUUAUGCUGCCAUGUACACAUGUAUGUACAUAUAUAUAUAAAAUUUAAUCCACAAUCACACGCA